GCCCUCGUCGUUCAAUGGAUAGGACAUUUGGUUGCGGACCAAAAAAUUGCAGGUUCGAGUCCUGCCGAGGGCA
rnacentral:tRNA from 1 species